GUGGGAGAGAGGCUGUAGGAGUACAUAGAUACACCAUUAGAAGUUCGAGGUAGGUUCCAGUAAUGCGGUUUACACCUCGUUGGGUACUGCCACGGUCUCGGUCAUUCGGCUGACUGGACGCCUACCUAAAACACCACACACUCACGCCUGCAAUAGUUUUCCUUUAUUGUGAUUUAAGCACCACUUGGAGUUUGGGUAUGUCACUGCAGCCCAUCACCUCCUGCCAGUCCUGCCCUCGCGCGCACGAUUACCAAGGCGGCUCAGUUGGUGAAGUAAUGGAGGGGGAGACGCUUCCUGCGUUGGUGUGUGUGUGUGUCCGCGUCGACCUUGCGAGGGUGUAGCAACGCCCACAAGGAAGGAAGAAGCAGAACAAAAAAAAAAUAACUACAUUACCAGGACAAAAUCUAAUUAACCAACUCACACCUGGAAAUAAAUGGAGAGGGUUUUUAUCGAUGUCUUAUGAGCUGAAAUAUGAACAAAGAAAAAAAAGUGUGCUGAGCGUUUCUCCCGCUAGCACUAAACGGCAACAGAAGCGAUGCAGGACAACCUCCCUUCGCGACCAUUAAUCUUCCCAGCACGGAAUCCAAGCGGGAAAUCAGCAUCCGCGUGCCUGUUUCGCCUCCACCGGUGCCUUGCCUCAGCAGUGUUCGCGGGCCCGUAGUGUCCUUCAGUUGAGUAAUUAAUGUCAAGUGCAUCCCUGCGAACCGCCAGUGGUGUGUGACAUUGCUCCCGCGACGAGCACUUCAGCGCAGGGACAAGCACGGAGGACGGAACUGUGUGUGUGUGUGUGUGUGUGUGUGUGUGUUACAGUAGUAAACCUAGGUAUCUUGCGUCACUUAUUUACCCUCCAAGUGCCAGAGCCUGUAAAAGAAGUAGUAGUAGUAGUAGUAGUAGUAGUAGCAGUAGUAGCAGUCCUCGUAAUGGUAGUGAUAGUGGAGAGAGAGAGAGAGAGAGAGAGAGAGAGAGAGAGAGAGAGAGAGAGAGAGAGAGAGAGAGAGAGAGAGAGAGAGAGAGAGAGAGAGAGAGAGAGACACGUACUCAUUAACCUGAAGUAAGAGCACUGCGGCAGGACACCUUUAGCGGGGGGUGGGAGGGGGCGCCGAGGGUACCUGGGUUAUUACUCUCCGGGACCAGGACACGUCGCGCCUGACACUCGCUUUGCCUUCUGGCGGCGCCGCGCUGGAUGCGUCAGAGCGGGAAGCAUAAUAUUACGGAUCUUCCCAUGUGGGGAGAGUGACACCUCACAAAAAAUCUCCCUGUCGUACUUUGUCAAAUUAACUCAGAUUUUUCCAUGCAUUCUUUAAUUAAAUGAAUCGUUUUAAUCUGCUAUUUACUUAAUUUUUUUUUGUUUGUUUUUUGCGACAUUGUACGAGGCGGAAAAAUGUUUGAUUUAUUAAAAUUCGUGUUUAUUUCUAUAUAAAAAGUGUCUGUUGGUAGAAAAUUUACUCGAAGUGAGAGAAAAAAAAAUACGGUGUUUUAAGAAGCAUGUAUAACUAAGAUGAUGAUUAGUUUGCGGUAAAACACACACACACACACACACACAUACACACACACACACACACACACACACCACCACACAAAAAAGCCAAGAAUGAUAAGACAGCAAAAGGAGGAGGAGGAGAAUAAGAAUGAGAAAAGAAAAGAAAAAAAAACGAAAGACGAAAGAGGACAUAGAAACGGCUCUGAGGAAAGUGAAGGACGAUGGCUGAAGAAGAUAAAGAAAUGGGAACGAAUGAAAUGGAAGUGAAAAGCAGAGGAUGGAGGAAAAUUGGAGCUGCAGGACGAUAUGUGUGGAUGGGAUGGAUGAUACAUGGCAAGGAAAGGACGAGGCGAGGGAGCAUUGGGUGUCUGCAGAAUGUUUUGCGCUAUCAUUCUGUUUAGGCUUUAUGGAAAUGGCUCAAUUGGUUUACCUCCCGUCACACGUCAUUAUUUUAAAAGGCACUCGCUUUAUUGCCAUGUUUUAUUAACUUCUUUCCAUCUGACGUAAGCAGGGAAGUGUUGACUGUCUUUCGGUUCUGCGUAUGAUAUGAACCUAACAGUCUUCGCGUUCUGGAUGAAAAGGAAAUAUUAACGACUUAGAUCACGUAGGUUGGCUCUGUUAUCUGACGCCUCGUACUUGCACCGAAAAAUCCACGGAGAUUACAUGUAUAUUUUAUUAAUUACUACAGGAAAAAAAAUGUAUGAAAAUGCUUUGAAAGUAGUGGACUAAUAGGAGUACGAUUUCCGGGAGAGGAAGCAAGAGCCACAGGGGAAGAAACAUAUUUCUGUUGGAAUAUGUGGUGAACUGAGGAGCAGAUUUGCAUGAGCGAUGCGACGCAGAAAAUGCGCCUCGUCAUCACAAGUUUUACCGGUGAGCAAAGGCGGCAAGCAGGACUCAGGGGCGGGCAGGCUUGGUGAUCCCUAGGGCGUAUAAUUGCAGCCUAAAAUUUCCCUUUUGAUAGCAGCAACCCGCAGAUUUCCACUUUUUGGUUAGGGGUAAAAAUGAUCCUUGGUGUAGAUAAAACCGGACGUGUGUGUUGCGUCCGACCAUUGCUGGGGACGGCCCGCUUCGAUGGGAGUGCAGAAUAAACACUAUCUACACUAUCUACCCCUUCAGUCCUUUUUGAUGCGAAAUGGUGAUGGUGCUCCCCACGACCUGACCGCCGCCCUCGAUGCCUGGCGGUACUUGGAGCAGCGAAUUGUGCCUUCCCUCUCAAGCCUGACGUCUGCCGCGCCACCUUCACGUCGUCAGAGUUGAUAAGUGACAUUGAAGGCCCUCCACUACAUUAGUUGAUAAGACUUUAUUCUGAAACACUUCGGCGCCGCAUUUCAACCUCUUUUAACGAACUCUAGUUGAAGUUACAUGCGUUUUCAAGUGUGUUUUUAUGGUCUUAGUGACAGAUGAACAAGACUUCUGCGUUAUUAACAGGAGAAACACUCUUGAGAACUUAAUUAGUUAUCCCUGUCGCCUUUUAAAAUAGUGGUGAUGAGAGAACAAAGUAAGAAAAAUGCGUUCGCUUGUCUAUUUGUGAAGAAUGAAAGAUGUAUAAAGAAUGUAAUACACGCUGAAGAAAAGAGUUUGCGAUGCGCUGCCAGAAGACUAAAGAAUAUUCAAGCUUGCAAAUUUGAAGACAUUAUUAUCAUCAUCAUCAUCAUGUCAUCAUCCGCCUCCUCAUGCUUCCCUUUCCGCAGUGUCUACGUCUAGCGGCGAGAGCCACGCGACACAGGCAGCGGCAGACACAAGAGGUAUUGCAUUUAGGAUUCAAGUGAUCAAACGCUUCCCCACCCUACCACCACCACCACCACCACCACCACCACCACUUCCAGCAGGCAUAAAUGAAACACGAUAUGCGACUCCACUUCCGCUCCCACUAAUGCCGCUCUGUGUGUGUGUGUGUGUGUGUGUGUGUGUGUGUGUGAGCGUCGCCAGUGAUGCCAAGCCGGAGAGUCACAUAAUAGACCAUACGUUAGGCUGUAAUCUCAGCAGAUGAGGCUCGCCAGCAGAGGCUACACGCGGCCAGCACACCAAACAAUAUAUCAUAAUGUAAUUGCCGCCUCGCCCGCCAAUAACAUCCCUGGGAAUGUGUGUUGUGAACCCUCAUGUCAUAUAAUUCACGUAGUCAAUCCCUGGACGUGGUGCGGUGCGAUCCAAACCCGCCCCCCGCCCUGCACCGUUUUGUUGACAUAAAUGGUGUGGAAACUUUACCGAAAAUUUGAACCAGUGAAUUUAUUUAUUUAUUUAUUUAUUCAUUCGCUAUAUUUAUUCAUUUAUUUAUUUGUUUGUGUGUACUUUUUUUCACGCUGUGGGAGGUAAAAGCUGGUUGGUGCGUUGCUGUAAAAAAAAUAAAUAAAUAUUCCGAUAUUAUUUUAACUAUUUAUGAAUGAAAAAUGUAUGUAUUAGCGGAAUCAUGUGAUAAAAAAAUACCGAAUUAAAAGAACUGGUGACAUUUCCCGCUGCAUUAAGUGAAAUAAAAAUGUCAUCCAAUGAGUUGAAUUGCCGGUGCAGGGUUUAAGAAUAUUCCAGAGAGCACAAACAUGUUCCUGUGAUGGAGGGAGUUUUAUUAUCACUAUUAUUAUUAUUUACACUAUUGAAAGUAAUGGAAGAGAUGAGAGGUGGGUUAAUAGAUAGACAAAUAGAUAGGUUGAUAGAUAGAUAAAUUGAUAGAAGAGAGAGAGAGAGCAUUUUUGUCUAAAGAUUUCAAUAGCAGUUAUUUUUGGUCUGAACACGACGUAAAUUAAUAAAAGUAUAUGCGUAUAUAAUUAUAAAACAUUAACUUUCGUCUCGCCAAUAAGUAAGUUACAAGAAACCCAGAAAUAGUGUUCCGUUCUUUUGCAUUUAUGGUUCUUUCUAUUCUUCUUUGUGUAUGAGAGUGAGUGAGCCUUUUAGCGUGGUUGUGGGGCCGGACGGGCGCGGGCGUGGGCGUGGGCGUGGACGUGGGCGUGGAGAGUGGAGGAUAAACACAGGAGGCGAGGCUUACCUACUUACCGCCGGCAUCCUUGCUCUUAAAACACAAAAUUUCCCACGAGAGUUGUACGUUUUCUGAAAUAACAGCAGAACAUUUUUAUCUUGAUGCCCAAGCCGUGAAUCUCCGUAUGCUGACCUUGUUUUUUUUUUUCUCGCUCUUUCUUUUUUUUUUUUUUUUUUUUUCUGUCUCGCUCUCAACUAAAUCCUGUAAACAUGUUGAAGUUUGCUCGAUCCUAAUGCACCUGGCCGCACUCAGCCGCACUCAGGUGGGUAAGAUCAGAUCCGGUGAGCCGUCCUGCUGCAUCCCAAGCUCCCCUGCAAAAUACGAAGUUGGGUUCAUUUUUGCAGUUUUGAACAACGACUCGUGGAAAAAAAAAAAAAGUCGUUUGGAAUGAGCAACGCAUUCGACUGAAACAUUUUGCCUCGACCCGUAUCCUAAAAAAAAAAAAAAAAAAAAAAGAAAAAAAAAAAGCUUUAUCUUCAUCAACUUGAACACCCUCUAGUGGAAGCUGUUGAGGUUCUCAGUUAUGUUUUCCUAAUCUUAGUGAUGAUUCAAGGCCACUGGGCUAUCAAGGGUAAACAUGAGAAUCCGAGUAAUCAUCUCUGUUAUGUUUGACAUUAGUCCUGAUUAGAGAGCAGGAUUCCACAAGCAUCUUGAUAUGUGUUCUUUUCUGUAUAUUUCCAUCUAAUGCUCCUCAUAAACCUUGAUGUCGCAGUGGCCGUGUGUGUGUGUGUGUGUGUGUGUGUGUGUGUGUGUGUGUGUGUGUGUGUGUGUGUGUGUGUGACUGGGCAACGGUAGUUACAGAGAGAGAGAGAGAGAGAGAGAGAAACCUAACCCAACGUGGUAACACUGCAAGGAAAAUGCAUAACUGGCAAGUCACACCUGCAGAACGUGGCCCAUUCUGCCUGCGGCACUACACAUGCGUCCUUCCUUCCUUCCUUCCUUCCUUCCUUCCUGCCCUUCCCUUCAUUUUCCUUCCCUUCCCUUCCUUCAUACAUACAUCACAGUAUACAUCCUUCCAUCCCCCCGCCUCCCCUUUUUUUUUACUCCCUCUUUUCUUCAUCUGCGUCACCUUCCUUACCCUCACUUGUACUCAACAUUUUUAUCAUCAGAUCUUUUAAAAUCUCCUCCUUUCCCUUGUACCUCUCCUCCCUUUGGUCUUCGUAUCCUCCCGCCUUCACACUCACACACACCCACAAACACACACACACAUACUCUGCUUUGCUCACUCUCUUCUUUCAUUUGUACAUCCAACAAACUUGCGUCAAGAAAAACGCUAAAAGCCGGAUGCAUGUUUGUGCAGAAAAAGAAAGUGUUGAAUGUCAGGAGCGUAAAUUUUAAGGAACGCUUUUAAAUGCAUCCACUAUACUUGUGCAUUUAUUAUUACCGUACUCUCUCUCUCUCUCUCUCUCUCUCUCUCUCUCUCUCUCUCUCUCUCUCUCUCUCUCUCUCUCUCUCUCUCUCUCUCUCUCUGUGCUACACCUGUCUUUUCAGUAUGACACCGCCCUUUCUGUGCUGCUGUCUUCCCCGUUCUCCCCCAACUGCCUUGCCUUCCCUUUCUCCUCUUUCUGCGUCCCUCUUCUUCUCCCUCACCUCAUCCACCCCCUCCUGUCCACCUCGUAGCAAGAACCAAGAGAAUUAUAACGCUGAAAUAUCAUGGCUAGUGUUAAUAUGAAGCACGUGGAGAAAUAUUCAUGCUAACACGUGCGGAAUAUUUACGGAAAGCUGAAAUUUAUGUAAGAGCAACUGAAAAUAUUAAAGUUACAAACCUCGGAAUUAUGAAGGACUGACACAAUAUGAAAUGUAAGUAGAUAAUAUUAAGUUUACUAGCGAGAGUAGAUAAGGAGCAGAGUGUUGUGGUACAGAGUAAUGUAAAAAGGAAGCAGCUAGCAGCAUCCCUACUGGACCUGGGGGCAAAGGGACAGCAAGGUCAAAUGAAGGAACACCGUGUAGCAUAGAAAAACAGUCUGUUAUUGCGUAUCCAUUAUUACGAGUGGUGUUUGUUCGAUAAAUAAUUACCGAGUUGUUAAUGUUAAAACUGUCAUCGCCAUGAAAAAUGUUGAAUACCUCUUGUUUCCUUGCAUUCUACGACUCUAAACAAAACAGACAGCUUCCACAGACGCUCCUCAUACGGCUUGCUUCGUAGUCGUGGGAUUUUUUCAUUAACUUUGUACUCUCUUCAGUUUCUUACAUGAUAAAUGGUUCUAUUGAAAGACAUGAAACCUAUCAGAGCAAUGGGACGAGGAGGAGGAGGAGGAGGAGGAGGAGGAGUUAACCGCUAUGAAAGGAAAUUGUCACCUUAUUAAUGCUAGAUGUAUAGAACCACUAAUUGUAUUAUUAAUGUUUAGUGCUGAGUUGACUGCUCCUUCGGGAGACGCUUGUGAAUCGAAGGUGACCCAUUUACCCACCACCAACUCUGCCUUUUCCUGCGCUACCAGAGUUUAUUAAUUUUAAUGAGGGCAGUGACUAGGGGCAGUCAGGUGAAGCAGUGGCAAGGACGGCGGCUGACUUGCACUCCUAGCCUGCCCUCGCCGAUCCUGCACACUCUGGGGAACUACCGUCCACAGCACACACUCGCCACACAACCACCGCUGCAAGUCGGUGAAUUGUAUUCACAUCGGUCUGUAAUCUAUAAGUAAAGUCUACUAAAUUGUGAGAA